rnacentral:lncRNA from 10 species
ACCCUUCCAGGACGCGGCCUCCUCGCUUCUUAAAAUGUCUGAGCUCUACGAAGUGGAACUGUUAGCCCUCCGUUUAUUGCCUUACUUCACACUGAAAUAAGCCAACGUUUAUUUUAUUUUAUUUAUUUUAUUAUUUAUUUUAUUAUUUUUUUUCGAGACGGAGUCUCGCUCUGUCCCAGGCUGGAGUGCCGUGGCGGGAUCUCGACUCACUGCAACCUCCGCCUCCGUGUUCAAGCUAUUCUACCUCAGCCUCCCGAGUAGCUGGGAUUACAGGUGCCCGCCACCACGCCCGGCUAAUUUUUGUAUUUUUAGUAGAGAUGGGGUUUCACCAUGUUGGCCAGGCUGAUCUCGAACUGCUGACCUUGUGAUCCUCCCGCCUCAGCCUCCCAAAGUGUUGGGAUUACAGGCGUGAGCCACCGCGCCCGGCCCCCAACGUUUCUUUUUAAGCCUGUCAUAUCUCACAUUAAAUGUGUAAGUCUCUGAACUGUAGGGCUUUGAACAAAGGAAAGUUCCAUGAGAAUACUAUAUGAUGCCAAUUUCUACUGUUAGGAACGCGAUAACAGAGUGCAGUGGGGGAGAAAAUACCGUCCUCAAGAUCUGAGAAACUGGAGAGGAAAAGUCACAGGACAACCAACUUCUCUAUGACAUAGCCCAGCAUCUGAGGAAAGUCCUGCAAUAGUGGAGGUGGAGCAGAGGGUAUGAGCUGGGAAGCAAAUGGAGCAGGAGCUGGAGGCUGCCCCAUCCACUCCAAGCCAGAGAACAAGCAGAGGCUGCCACAGGAGAUCCUGGGCAAGUAAUCAGCCACAGCAUCUAGAUUAGCAUGAAGGAAACACUGGCCAAAUUAAAAGAUGAAACUUCCAAAAGGUAAAUCUCUGUGUAUUCAUGCCUAAUCUUCCAAGGU